UUGACAUCCAGAGAACUUAGCAGAGAUGCUUUGGUGCCUUCGGGAACUCUGAGACAGGUGCUGCAUGGCUGUCGUCAGCUCGUGUUGUGAAAUGUUGGGUUAAGUCCGCAACGAGCGCAACCCUUAUCCUUUGUUGCCAGCGGUUCGGCCGGGAACUCAAAGGAGACUGCCGGUGAUAAACCGGAGGAAGGUGGGGAUGACGUCAAGUCGUCAUGGCCCUUACGGCCAGGGCUACACACGUGCUACAAUGGCGCAUACAAAGAGAAGCGACCUCGCGAGAGCAAGCGGACCUCAUAAAGUGCGUCGUAGUCCGGAUUGGAGUCUGCAACUCGACUCCAUGAAGUCGGAAUCGCUAGUAAUCGUAGAUCAGAAUGCUACGGUGAAUACGUUCCCGGGCCUUGUACACACCGCCCGUCACACCAUGGGAGUGGGUUGCAAAAGAAGUAGGUAGCUUAACCUUCGGGAGGGCGCUUACCACUUUGUGAUUCAUGACUGGGGUGAAGUCGUAACAAGGUAGGCGUAGCGAG
rnacentral:rRNA from 1 species